GCCGAGUUGUAUUUUGCUAGAUAGGGGAAGGAGGGUUGUCUGCUGUCUGGUAGGAGGGCUUUGUCUGUGUGCGCCUUUCUCUCUCUCCCUCUCUCGCUCUCCCUGUCUCUCGCACUCUCGCUCGCUCUCGCUCGCUCUCUCUCGCUCGCUCUCCCUUUCCCGUCUCUGUGGUUUGUAAGGUAGGUUGCAGUGUGUGUAUAUACACAACAUCAAGAGCAGGAAAAUGGACUCAUUAGGGAGGCAGGCAGUCAUUACCACUCACACUGUACUUCCAGGGAGACAGCGACUAUGAGGAGACAAACUGAGGACUGGGGAACAAGCAGCAUAAGAAAGAAGUGUUGAGAGCUGCUCUUAACCCUUUUGGAGGCCAAAGUCAAAAGGUAAAACCAAAUGCUAAUGUUUGUGUUUCUGAAGGUGUUGACAUCACAAUUGUUUGGAAGUGCUGUUUCCUUAUCACAUCUAAACUGAGAUUUCCCACAGGAGAAAAGCAGAGAUACGGUAAGAGGAAUCAAAACAUUAUUAGGCCUCUUUAAGAGCCACCAGCAUAUCUGGG
rnacentral:lncRNA from 1 species